rnacentral:rRNA from 1 species
CUAGCGUUGCUCGGAAUCACUGGGCGUAAAGCGCACGUAGGCGGCUUCUUAAGUCAGGGGUGAAAUCCUGGAGCUCAACUCCAGAACUGCCUUUGAUACUGAGAAGCUUGAGUCCGGGAGAGGUGAGUGGAACUGCGAGUGUAGAGGUGAAAUUCGUAGAUAUUCGCAAGAACACCAGUGGCGAAGGCGGCUCACUGGCCCGGUACUGACGCUGAGGUGCGAAAGCGUGGGGAGCAAACAGG